GGACCGAUAGCUCAGUGGUAGAGUGUAGGAUUGCAGUUUGGAAUCACUAUCCCAAGGUCGCGUGUUCGAUCCACGCUCGGUCCU